rnacentral:lncRNA from 1 species
UCCGUCCAACUUCCUUUUGCCGCGAACAAGUUCAUCAGCCUUUGCCUUUUGCCGCGAACAAGUUCAUCCCGGAGGUAUCAAAUUUAUUUAUUUUAAUGUUUAUUGGCGGAGUAAUUUGUGUUUUAAAUUCAGAUCUGAAUUGAUUGAUCUUUGUUUGUUUUGAAUUGCUGCGGAUAUUUGGGGGUGAGAUUUUUGUCUGUUGUAUGAAUACUCAACGACCAGUUUUACAUUUACUCAUACUUGCUUACUGAUUCCCGAUGGGUUUUUUUCUUCUUCUUUUUCGUGAUUAAUAUAUAGUGGAUGACAAAAUUGGUUGUUUAGAGUACAAUUGGGUCGAAAGAAAAACCAAUAUAUUAAAUUUGUAUGGUUUGAAGUUGUUUACUGGUGCAAUUAGCUUGAUAGUUAAAAUAGUUUAAUUGUUAGAAGUAUAUAUAUUAGUGUUGUUCUCGGGUUUGAAAAUCAUGAAAUUCAAAAUAUUUGUUUUGAAAUUAAAAAAUCUCAUCUUGACUUAAUAAUGUCUUGUUUUUGAGGUUCAUUAAUACGAACUCAAAAAUCUUUGGAAAGAGAAACCUGACCAUAGAAUGGCAGUCAUUGGGUUAGAUUUUGUUUGUGAUCUUCGUGUUUGUUUAUAGACUUGCAGUUUUUUUGCAUUGGGCUGCACUGCUCAAGGACUUUGAUUUUUUGAACUUGAAACUUGAUUUACCUAAAUAGCUUUAUUAUCAUCUUAGAAUGUAACCUGAUGUUCUUGCCAAAAUUUUCUGCAAAAAAUAAUCUUUAUGAAAUGUGCCUUUUUAUUGUGUUUAUUUUUUUUUGAUUUAUGUGUGCAAUAUUCAUGGAAGCUGAGUCCUCACAUAUUUCAUCAUACUGAUAAUUUCACUUGUUAAAUUGUCAACCUCCUUUUAUUCUUAUGAUUAUUUAGUUGUAUUAACUUUUUUGCUUUCUUUCCCCGGUGAAAUUGCUGUAUUGCUUAGAAUUAGGUUCGAACUUGUCAAGAGGAUGAGUAAUAUAUAGCCACAAGAUGACAAUUCCGAAUAACACAUUUUCUCAUCCUUCAUAUCUCCCUGCAGAUACUUGCUUUCUGCAUUGGUUAUGGGUUAUGGGUUAUUCAUAUCUCCCUGCAUAUACUUGCUUUCAAUAUGCUUCCUUUUUUCUCCUGUUUUAGAUUUUCAGCAUUUGUUCGUUUCUCUAAGAUUAUUUAUUUAGUUCUGAAAGCAUUCCUAGGGAAGCUUCUUCGAGUCAGUACGUUAAUUUAUGGGUUCUUGUGUACUCGAUCACUUUCAGAUUUUUAACUUUGAAACUCAUUCAGUUUUAUUGAUUGAAUAGAUGGACAAUCAAGAGAGUAAAUUUCGAGAUUUUAUGAUUCGACGACAUUUUCUAGUAACAGGGAGAAGCAUUUAUCAAUUCAUCUGUGCGAAUCUAUUCUGCAAAUGAUAUCUUUAAAGGACUUACCGAAAUGAAUUUCGAUGAGGAAAAAAUCGAUGAAGCCUAUUUAUGGCUACUAGAAAAUCAAGACAAGGCACGAGUAGUGUUUGAGUUACCACUAGAGAGGAGAUUGAAUUUUUUGAAGAAUUUGAUGAAUAAUCUUCAUUAGUAUAAACAAUACAGAUUAUGUUUGAUGACUUUUGG